GCCAACCCAUUGUCUGGUUCCCAUUUUUAGUUUCCUAAGGCCCCUUCACACCAGUUUCCAUAGUGGCUUGACUAGUUCACUUUCCCACUAGCAGCAGUUAAGAGUUCCCUCUCUCUCACCCAGCACCCUCCCUAGAGCUCCUUUGUAUGCUUUGAUGAUGCUACCUCUUCUGAUUAGUGGGAGGGGGAUCUGAAGGUAGCUUUAAUUUGGAUUAUCCCAAGGGAUAAAAGACGCUGAGCAUUUUUCCAUGUGUCUAAUUGGCUGUACCUUGUUUUUGAGAACAGUCUGUUUGAGAAGACUUCCUCUCAUUGUGUGGACUUUCUCUCCACCUUGUUGUUUCCUUUGCUGAGUGAAAUGCUUCAAAUAACAUAACUUCCCACUGUCAAUUCUCAGAAUUACUCACUGAGCCAAUGGAGAUCUUUUCAGAAAAUCCUUGUCUGUGCCUGUAUCUUGAAAGGCUUUGGUUUUGUUUUCUUCUAGCAGUUUCAAAGUUUUAGGUCUCAUAUGGAGGUCUCAUAUGGAUAGUCUGAAGUGGUUUUUGUGCAAGCUAAGAACAGCAUUAUCCACUCUCCAUACGUAAAGGUACAGGGUCCGAAGUGCCGCGCACAUCUCGCAAAGCCUCGUAGCUGCAAGUGUGCCUUCCACACUCCCCUGAGCUCGUUGAUCUCCUUUGUAAGAUUCCGGAGGGCUAGGAAGAUGUCCCAGUGGGUGAGAUAUUGGAUGUGGAAGCAAAUUCGAAGAUGUCGGCUUAGAUCCCAGCACUCACGGAGAAAGCCACGUGUGGAGGACGCUCGGUAUUGCAGUUAAACCAGAUCAGCGUUUGUUCUCAGGUUCAUUUGCCGUAGUAAGGCCAACCUCGGUGAGUAUCUUUCCUGACAUGUGAGUAUCCUUCCUGAUAUCCAAAUGGUUAUCAGGAAGAUUAUCUAGAAAAUCAAAAGUUUUCCACUCUUGCUCACACCAGCCCCAUCUCUGGAACACCAACCCUCAGGGGGCAUUUCCUCUGCUGAUUUCAGAUGACUCCUUGGUUAGGGUAUGUUCCUCACAUGAGUGCAUGGACACACAUCUGGAGACUGAAUGAAGCUCUCUUGAGCUCUCUGUGGCCCUCGGUCCUGUUCUUCCUCUCUGGUCCUCUAUGAACCCUGGCCAGCAUCCUCUGGACUUCCUACUCUCUCACCAAUAGGGUUCUCUCCUCAGGGGUGAGCUCUAGCAACUUUCUCAAGGCAGGAGCAGAAAACAACUUAAGAACUUAGCACAUUUGUUUCUUAUCACACAUAGCUCACUGUCUUGGCUCUGUCCUCUCCCUUUCCUCUCUUCCUUUUCCUCCUCCUCCCUCUUCUUUCUCUUCCUCCUUCUCCCCUUCUUUCUUCUCUUUCCUCCCUUUUUUUUCUUUUCCUUUUUUCUGAACAGUAAUCCAAGUUCCCAUGCAUGCUAGCCAAGUGCGGUGCCACAGGUCUACCCAGCCAGAUCAUGGAUGCUCUUUCUACUCAUCUUUUAGACAGUUUGCCGUGUGGCCAUUCCUCACUCUUUCCCCACCUCUCUGCAAGAUCUCAUUCCAAAACUUCAAGCAAACCCAUAUGCUGAGUCUCAAAUUUCCAUUCUCAUCCCAGUCUAUCAUCCGAACUCCCACACUACCCACCCAAUGACUUACCAUCACAUUUUUCUAGAUAUUCCCACAAGCUGCUUGAACUCAACAUGCAGAAAUGGAAUAGCACCCCCUAUGCCUUCCUGGCCCACCUGACAUCUCGGUUUGUCACGUAAACCAUGGGUAGCUCUAUCUGCUUCCUUUCCUUUCCAGGAUGUUCACCGAGAUUGUGUUUCUGUCAUUGUUCACUACCAUGUAGAACAGCCUGUGGCAUAAGGAGGGUCUCAAUUAAUACAGUGAACACAUUGGUGCCAAAUAUAAGGGGGAUAAUCUGAGAGAGGGGAGGGAAACAGUUAAAAAUUAAUUAGUCUCGCUGCAUUGGAUUUGCCGUGUCCCUAAAAAGGGUGAAUCGGAAAGCACAGAAAGACAAGGAUGAGAGUUGGUUUUAUUUCUGGUGACUGUGAAGAACCUGGGGAUAAUCAGGAAGAGAAAACUGAGCAGAAAUAACGGAAGGAAGUUAGCUUUCUAGGCUCGUACAUACUUAACACUUGCCUCUUAGUAUGGUGUCUCAAUGAAGCACAUCUAUGGUUCCCUUCUGUGCUGAAUAUGUGCUCAUACCAAGUGCACUGCUUUUAGAAGUGUCUUUGAGUCACUUUAUACAAAGCUGUCCUUCUCAUCAAUCAUAUUAUAAAUUCUGACUGGGCUUAACAUGCCUAUUUUAUCCAUAGUUUGGGAGACCAGGAGCAAGAACUUUAUUUCUUUGUGGGCAUGUGUGUCGCCAAGACAGUGAUUGCGAGCCUUCCCUAAGGCGGUGCAUACAGAAAUAUUGUACGUGAAAAAAGCAGAGAUGUGGGGCAGACAUUGGGCUCUCAGUCUCGUCUGAUUCUGAGACACAUGUGUACCAUACUUCCAUCCACACACCGGUCCUGCUUGCAUUAUAUAGAAGAACUGUGCUGGUUCACGUUGGCAAGCCGACUUCAGCAUGCCUAAAGCUAUUUCCCAUGGAAAUCUUGGCCCAGCUCCUCUGGAUGCAAACUCGCUGGCGGAGCAUGCGUGUUUGAGUUUGGGGAGAGUUCCCAGCAUGCUCUACUUCUGUUCAAGGGAGCUGGACGGAACUAGGGCCCAGAGGAAACUGGAGAGCAGGCCAGGCAGGUGUGAAGGAUUCAACGGUGGCCACAAUGUGUGAAGAGCAACAGUUAAACCUAAUUAAGGCACCUGCUGAACAUCACACAAAUUUGGAAGAGACAAAGCAAUUGCUUGACAGAGUUUCUGUAGUUGUUUGAGAAGCCACACCUCGGAGUAAUCCACAGAAAAGAGAAGGAUGGGGAACCUAGUUUCUUCCUGUCAUCUUUUCCUCCAUCAAGGUUCUUCUCAAGGUGAGUCGCCGCCCUGCACCACCCACUGUGUCUCUCAGAAAGGGGACUGAAUUCCUGAAGAUGUAGUAUUUCAUCAAAAUGUGGGUCGGGAGAUCCAUGCGUCUUCUUCCGGUUUGGUCUUCAGCUCUAGCUAGUUUGUGGUAGGAUAAAGUUGGAAGGGGUGGGAGAUCAGCAAGGGUCUAGCAAAGCCAAGAUCAUGGCCAGACAGCCAUGCAGAGCAUGCAAAAGGAUGAAGGAGGUCAAGGGAGACCAAGAAGAUUCACAAAGCUGUGCUCAUUGUAAGUCUGCCCCCGCUUCCUUCCUGAACAAUUAAAUCAGGAUGUCUGAGACUGGGCAUCAUUUGAAAGGCUCCUCAGAUUACACGGGUGUCCGGCCCAGGAGUGUGGGAGUCACUGCUUUUAGGUGUCUCCAAAAACAAACAUCUUGGUGCAAACUUCAUAUCAUAAUGUCCGUCUUUCUCCUAACUGGGAAAAAAAAAGCAAAGCUACUUAUUUAUAAGGAUAUAAUCAGAAGCUGCUGCACCCCUGAGCCUUAAAUUAUUUUGGGGCAAGCUCUGGAAGACGCAAGCAUUUUGUGACCUUGAUUUCUCACUACACAAAAGGCCACCGAAAUUCUUGAUGCAAAACAAUGAAAUUUUCCAUUAGGUUCCACUUAAGCAGCAAUUCUGCAAAGGGUAGGAGGAAACAGCAGGUUCCUCGGUCAGACUAAAUAGGUUUUGUUUGAAAAAGUAAUAAUCAGUUCACUGUCCUGGAUUUAGAGGGCACAUCCAUCCUCUGAACUAACAAUGUCAGAUUUUACUCUCGUCACAUAAAUUGUGCUCUAGCCGUGUGUAUCCAGAUGAAACCAAAACACGAAUAAAGAGACUCCUUGCGCUUUUCCUGGAAAUGCAUUUCCCAUUACACACCUUCAAUUUCCAUCUCUUGUGCUCCAUCUAUUGCGGACUGUUACAGGAAAAGGAGCAAGAAACAGCCUGGAAAAGAACUUAUUAUUGCAAGCAAAUGCAUCUUUCAUCUUGGCCCAGUAGUAUCUGAAUGCCUUGCCCCCUCAGCCUGUUUCACCACCCACAGGGUCUCUUUAGUCAGGUCAGCAAUUGAGUUAAAAAAAAUGACCAGGAGGGAUGGCAGGUCUGAAGGCUACAGGAACAGGAUGUGUAAUGUAAGCAGUACUCCGAGAGUAUGUGUUCCUGGUGGUAUCAUGUCUCCUAGCCAAUCACUUUCCCCGGCUGUAUGUGAGGUGUAGGUAGUCUUGAAAAUCUUGUUUAAUCCUUCCAGCUCAGGGAUUUGACAUUUCCAAAUGCUUGGACCACGGCCCACAUGCCUCUGUCAACAUAGACUACUGGCUUUGAAUUCUGCUUUUAUUUUUUAUUUAUUUU
rnacentral:sRNA from 1 species